GGGGAUUUAGCUCAGUGGUAGAGCACUUGCCUAGCAAGCACAAGGCCCUGGAUUCAGUCCUCA
rnacentral:tRNA from 1 species